rnacentral:rRNA from 1 species
AACGAACGCUGGCGGCAUGCCUAACACAUGCAAGUCGAACGAGACCUUCGGGUCUAGUGGCGCACGGGUGCGUAACGCGUGGGAACCUGCCUUUAGGUUCGGAAUAACUCAGAGAAAUUUGAGCUAAUACCGGAUAAUGUCUUCGGACCAAAGAUUUAUCGCCUUUAGAUGGGCCCGCGUUGGAUUAGCUAGUUGGUGGGGUAAAGGCCUACCAAGGCGACGAUCCAUAGCUGGUCUGAGAGGAUGAUCAGCCACACUGGGACUGAGACACGGCCCAGACUCCUACGGGAGGCAGCAGUGGGAAUAUUGGACAAUGGGCGCAAGCCUGAUCCAGCAAUGCCGCGUGCAGGAUGAAGGCCUUCGGGUUGUAAACUGCUUU